GAUGAAGAACGCAGCGAAAUGCGAUACUUGGUGUGAAUUGCAGAAUCCCGUGAACCAUCGAGUCUUUGAACGCAAGUUGCGCCCGAAGCCAUUAGGCCGAGGGCACGCCUGCCUGGGCGUCACACAUCGUUGCCCCCCCAUCUACUCCUUCGGGAUUGCGGGGGGCGGAUGAUGGCCUCCCGUGCGCCUCGUCGCGCGGUUGGCAUAAAUGCCAAGUCCUCGGCGACGCACGCCACGACAAUCGGUGGUUGCGAAACCUCGGUUGCCCGUCGUGUGCGGUCGUCGCGCAUCGAGGGCUCGAAAAAAUUGCCGGGCUCCGGCUCGGCUGUCAACGCGACCCCAGGUCAGGCGGGGUUACCCGCUGAAUUUAAGCAUAUCAAUAAGCGGAGGA
rnacentral:misc_RNA from 1 species